GUUUUGGUUGAGCAGGAUGUGGUAUUCUUCAGACCUUAUUAACUUGGGACCAUGAGACCGGCGCGGCGACUCUACCACGCUUGAUUCACGUCACCAGUCAGAAACGAAGUCGCGUUUGGAGAGCACGCGUUUUUCUUUUGAUUUAAAAACGUUAUCAAAACUUCAAUUAAUUUUCAAUUAACUUAAAACCAUUCAACUAUCUGUGUGACAUUUUAAAUCGUGUAUUAUAAUAUAUGUGUGCCACGUUUACAUCCAGGAUUUUGAUUUCCAACUAACUGGCGAGCCAUGCGGACAUCACUAUCAGUACACGCGAGAUCAACGAAGGAGACGCAUCUCUCAGUUUGAGAUAUAUUUUGAUAAUAAGACAUAUAUAAUCUGACAAAGGGACAAUCUAUUACAUUCAAGUGUUAACUACUUCUAGUCAAGAACGAAAAAAAUAUUCGUGAGCCAUUUGCGACCUUCGAUCCUCGAAGGUUCGAAUAUUUACUUUUCGAAAUUUGAAUUUUACUACCGUUAUAAAGUUUGUAAAAUCUGUGCCGCGUUUAGACGCGCCGUUUCUUGAAGGCUAGUGUCGUGUAGUGGUGUUGUAGACUUUUUUAAAAUGGCAACUACGGGCAGUGAGAUGUGGCUGCAGUGGUUCGCUUGCUGCUACCAACCCGCAGCGCAGGCACAGAGGACCCGGCGGAGAAUAGACAGAUCUAUGAUUGGUGCACCGACCAAUUUCCAACACACAGGACACAUCGGGUCGACCGACGUGGACAUGCCCUCGUCACUCCUACACUCCAUACAGAACCAGAUGCAGAGCAAGGGGGGAUACGAAAUGGCGUACGGUGUUAAGGUUUAUUAAGCGACAGUAGCAGCAAUGAGAGACGUUUGUGACAAAAUAGAGUGAAAAUGUUCUAAUAACAUGAUCUUAUUAUGUAUUUAUUAAAGAACCUUUAGUUUUAAGAUUAGGUAGUUGUCUUUUGUUGUGUAUAGAGAAAAACAUCAGAGCUGAAAAUGUAUGAGGUACCUAAAAUUAGAUGAUGCACGCACAUAACGAUAAUAUAAUAUUUUUUUCUGUACCAAAUAAGUAUAAUAAAUCAUCAAUUUAACAAACAAUUUGUCUGUACGUAUAUAAAUGUCUCUAAAUUAGUAUAAUAGCGUUUAUCCGCUAGGUAAAAGCUUAAUGACAAGCUAUUUUGUGCUUUUACGGUGCGUCAUAAACUACUAUUCAGAAAAUCUUUAGAAAAUAAUCACUGAAUUUACUUUUGAUGAAACUUAUUUAUGCAUUUAUGAUAGAACGCGAAUAAAAAUUAUGGCAUGUCAUUAUAAAAUAUUAUACCAUAUAUUUAAAGACAAAUAUAACAUUAUUCUCAAUACUUAGACACGGUAGUACAUAAAUAAUGAUGAUUAAAUGAUAUCUUUACAAAAUGACAGUUGCCUUUAAUUUAAUAAAUAAAAUUGUCCAAUGUUAACUUUGUAUUUUUAUACGAAUUACUUCAAAAUAGUCACAUCUAUUUAAAAUUUUAAUUUGUUUAAAUUUUAUAAGAUCAUCGAGUCGUUUUUGAUGUUCGAAGCAAUAUGUAGUGUUAGCAUCUAAAUUUAAAAUACAUAAUUAUCAUGUUUAGCUAUUAUAUUAGUAUUUCAGUCUUACGAAGAAUUAAAUAUUUUAUUUGUAAAUACCGAAUUACUUUGUCUAAAGUUUAUGUAGUGUGUGUAACGUAAAAAAUAAAUAAUACUUCUAAAAGUAUGAAGUAAAUUGUUCGUACUGAUAUAAAAGUCUCAUACACUUGUAUACCAAAAUGUAGUCCAUGUAUUCCUUUAGACGUCCUCCUGUGUGUUUUAAUAGUUAAGCGAACUUUUCUCAUGAAUAAAGAGUAAAUUGUUUGUAAUAUUUUCCACAUGUAAUUAGUUUUAGUUUGUUGUGAAUUUUAGUGUAAUGUCUUCAUGCCCGAACAUUUUUGGGCAUACGAAUGACUAAGAGAUUAACACCCAAUAACAACAAUAGAUUGAAGUUGUAUUAUUCAUAGUCUAUAGAGUUUUGUAUUUAUUUACAUUCUGUGUACCAUCGCUGUAUUUGCAAAACUGAAGAAAACCAAUUAAGAAAGAAACAACUUCUGUAAUUCUUCUUCCCUUCUUAGUCGUACACUCUUGUUAGAGUGGUCGUCGUUGCGCUGACGAGGUACAUUGUGGGGUGUUUGGUGGGUCGAUAACAUUUCCGAGGGUAGCUCUCCUGGCGAUGUGCUUCCAUUCUUUUUCUGUUGGAGGCGUCGCAAGUACACUGGACCAUGGUCGACUCAGUACCCCUAAUUCUGUAAUUAGCUAAAAAUAAAGAAAUGUAUGUUUUGAACAAACGCAAAUUGUAUAUUUUAUGCAUUAACCUUAUUGGUUUAAUUAAAAAUAUAAAAUACGUAAGUAUAAAAUAAAAUACACAACAACAGGAUUAAAUUAAUCAAAAAAUAAUUAAUAAUAAAAUAACGCGAAAGUAGAAUCGGAGCUGGUUAUAAUUACUUUACUGGCAACACUAAAAUGACGUCACAACAGACACAAUCAAUUGAUUUCUUAAUAUAUAAUCAAUUCAAUAUUAAUAUUUUAAGUUUGAAUAUUUGAAUAGAUAUGGGAAACGCACUUACUGUUUUAGUAUCUUUUAAAAUUACAAAUGUGAAAAUUAUUAUUGUUUUUAUCACAAUGUUUUUUCUAGUUAUAGUUUUAAUAUACCACACAAGAUUUAUUAAAUUACCUGUAGUUUUUUGAAGUUCUACCUUCGAGUAACUAGAGAUAUUUAUUAUCAAAAGCAAAAAUAUCAUUUUAAUAUUUCUGUUUCUCCGUUUUUUUUUUUCUUUUUUUUUUUUUGAAAGAAGGUUUUCUUCUGUCGUGUGUUCAAAAGCACACUCGUUUUUUUUUUGUAAGUACAGCGUUGAUACUAGCCAAAUACUUAUUUAGCAAUUCUGUUAAUAAUUUUGUCAUUUUAUUGUUAAAAUGACAAAGUUGUGUGUAACUCAAUAUAAUGAUAUACAUUGUAUAAUAUUUGAAAAAAAUAUCAGUUGUGGAAACAUGUUUUGUGAUU
rnacentral:misc_RNA from 1 species